GAUGAACGCUAGCGGCAGGCUUAACACAUGCAAGUCGAGGGGUAACAGGGUAGCAAUACUGCUGACGACCGGCGAACGGGUGAGUAACGCGUAUGCAACCUACCCAUAACUUGGGAAUAGCCCGAAGAAAUUCGGAUUAAUACUCAAUGACAUUUCGGAGAGGCAUCUCUCUGAUCUUAAAGCUCCGGCGGUUAUGGAUGGGCAUGCGUGCCAUUAGUUUGUUGGUGAGGUAACGGCUCACCAAGUUGACUAUGAUGGCUAGGGGGUCUAAAAGGAUAAUCCCCCACACUGGUACUGAGACACGGACCAGACUCCUACGGGAGGCAG
rnacentral:rRNA from 1 species